CACUCCUACGGGAGGCAGCAGUGGGGAAUAUUGCACCAUGGGCGCAAGCCUGAUGCAGCCAUGCCGCGUGUAUGAAGAAGGCCUUCGGGUUGUAAAGUACUUUCAGCGGGGAGGAAGGCAAUACGGUUAAUAACCGUGUUGAUUGACGUUACCCGCAGAAGAAGCACCGGCUAACUCCGUGCCAGCAGCCGCGGUAAUACGGAGGGUGCAAGCGUUAAUCGGAAUUACUGGGCGUAAAGCGCACGCAGGCGGUCUGUCAAGUCGGAUGUGAAAUCCCCGGGCUCAACCUGGGAACUGCAUUCGAAACUGGCAGGCUUGAGUCUUGUAGAGGGGGGUAGAAUUCCAGGUGUAGCGGUGAAAUGCGUAGAGAUCUGGAGGAAUACCGGUGGCGAAGGCGGCCCCCUGGACAAAGACUGACGCUCAGGUGCGAAAGCGUGGGGAGCAAACAGGAUUAGAAACCCUGGUAGUCC
rnacentral:rRNA from 1 species